rnacentral:lncRNA from 1 species
CCCCUGUCUCACUAAAAUUCAAAUAUCUCAUAAUAUAUAAUUCCUUUGCCUACACUGUUUGUUUCAUGUGAAAAUAGACUCGAUAAGAUUUAAUUAUAUGUCUCAUUCACUCUCUAAUUACAUUUCUACUAUCCUUGGUGAUUUUUCAAAAUCACAUCAAUGCUGCUGUCCAAAAACUGUUUCAUUGCAAAUUUUUACUCUUUUAUAAUUUUUUUAUAUUAACUAUCAUUUAGGCAUACAUAACAUCAAAACAUGUUCUUAAAUAGCCAUUUCAAUAGCUAAUCAUUAUCGAAUAUUUACAUGCUAUUCAUUAGCCAUAUCAAAA